AUGGACAGAGGAAACAAAGUGAUAAUCUUAGGCCGAAAUGAAAGCUUGAAGAAACUUGGGACUGUCCAGAGUAUAUCUCUGAACCGUCUGGCAUUCGAGGAGUACAGGUACCUGCUCAAGACGCUCGCAUUCGGAAGCCUGAAGCCAGGAGACCAUCCGUGGUUAGCAACGAUAGUGGAAGAGUUCGCUGUGGUGUUGGAAGGAUCACUUGUUUCAGCUAACUUGCUUGGAUAUGCAGUGAGAAACAAUCUAAAUGCCCAUUUCUGGCUUAGCACAUUGAACAAGAUCAGAAUCACAAGGAAGAUGAUCAUGUCCAGGUUUGGCUGCCAUCCAAAUGGCCUUUUCGAUCAAGACCGUCCGGUGCACUUUGGCUCUCACCACCUCUUGUCUCCUGUUGCUCGCCUUAUACCCUCUGCUAGCUGUCUGGAUAGUAGUCUACCCAAAGUCAUAUUCGGGGACGUACUAGCAGAACCAGGCCAUAUUGCUCCAACGAAGGGAGAUUUUAGGCCGAUCUCUUGGGAAUCAAGGUUACCACCAUAUACUGCGUUUGUUCAUCUGUCUCGCUUUGUUCCAAGUUGUGUGGAUGAUAAGCCUGAAGCACCCUUGUCAGGGAGGAAGCGUCUGGGGCCAUCUGCGUAG
rnacentral:rRNA from 1 species